GUGAUCCAGUAGAACUUUGAGAUGCUGGGGAUAUCUGCACUUUAUCUGCACUGUCCAGUAUGGUAGCCACUAGCCGGAUGUGGGUACUGAGUACUUGAAAGGUGGCUAGUGUGACUGAGGAACUGGGUUUUAAAUGGAAUUUAAUCAAUUUAACUUGAAAUAGCCCCAUGUAGCUGGUGGCUAAUGUAUUAGACAACAAAGCUCUAUGAAUCUAGAAUUCAGCAAGAAGUGUGGCAAGAUCUUACGCAGCCCUGUGGAGAGAACCGUCCGCCAGCUGAUACUACAGUUAGAUGUACUCAAAACUGUGUGAACGGCCCCUCUGAGCGGUGAUUAACAGAAUCACGAGAACCUGGAAGAGGGUGGUGUGCACAACCAGACAACAAACGGGAGCUCGGAGUGGCUGAUCAGAGGAAGGGCAGUGACGGAUGAUCAGACCAAACCUGAGUCUAGAAGACACAUCUGGGUGAAGGGACCAACCCUGGGGGCUCAGGGACGGAACCAGAGCUACUUCACCUGGAGAAAUGGAAAAGGACGAGACACAUGUUUAUGCUCAAACACCAUUAGAUGGAAGAAGCCUUGCUUAGUUAUUCACAGACCUACAGGUGAAAAUUAGAGUGGAGAUGGAAGCUGUAAGGGACACACUUUGGCUCAACAUAGGUAGAACAUUCUAAUGAUCUGAGGGGUCUUGGUGUGGGUGGGUGGUCUCUGGAGGACCGGUGCGGUCCUUCUAGGGAUCAACAAGAGGCUGGACACUGAGGCGGGAUAUAGAGGAGACUUGAGGUGCCAAGGGGUGGCAGGAGCAUCGUGCGGCCGCUCAGGCCCCCUGAGCCUGAAGUUCUGUGGCUCCACAGGCGGUCUGCCAUCUGCCUGUAGGUAUCAAAAGUGGAGGCCCAUGUGCACUGCACUGUGGGAGACCCAAGGGAGACCUCAGUCCUCACUCGUCUGGACCCUAGAACUGUGCACCCACUGGGGGAAGUUCACCUGGCCACCCCAUUCAGAUCAGAAAAGGAACUUCCUUUAGAGAGCAAAUUAUCAACUAAUAACCCAAAGGGAAGUGGAGGUAAGGUAUCCAGGUAAUUUACUCCCAAAGGGAAUAAUCCUCUGUGGCAUCGCUCUCUGGGGUCCACUGUCUG
rnacentral:lncRNA from 1 species